CUUGAAGGACAACUGAUUCACCAGAAACAUCUGCUCCCAUGGCCCUGCUUCCCAAGCAGCCGUGCCUUGUGGGUUGUCCCACAUUCAGGAAUUCAGAUUAGGAAGAGGUAAAUGAAGGUUAAACAGGAUUUCUGUCUCAGGCAGACCUUCAACAAUUCUCAAGGAGUUAUCCAAGUUGUGAUCCAGGUCUCCAUGUCUGCUUGUGCUGUGUCUGCCAACAUCUCUGAUGGCACUGCAGAGUGGAAGGGCUCCCAAGCCAACAGCUGGAAGGUCUGUCAGUGUUUUAUGGUUCUGUGCACACUUAAAACUCCAUUAGCUGAAUGGUUAUUUGCUGCAGAAAUAUCUGUUUUGGAGCAGUUGCAGAAGAAAGUGCUUAAUAUUGAAUUUCCUUGCCUUUAAGUUUGACUUAGAAGGAUGUACUGCUGUGGCUUUGUGUUUUCGAAUGCAUCUCCAAAAAUACCACACAGACACUUUCAGAUUCUUCCCUCAUAAUUGUAAUGUCUCUCUUGGCAAC
rnacentral:lncRNA from 1 species